rnacentral:rRNA from 1 species
CCUACGGGUGGCCGCAGUGGGGAAUAUUGCACAAUGGGGGAAACCCUGAUGCAGCGACGCCGCGUGAGCGAUGAAGUAUUUCGGUAUGUAAAGCUCUAUCAGCAGGGAAGAAAAUGACGGUACCUGACUAAAAAGCCCCGGCUAACUACGUGCCAGCAGCCGCGGUAAUACGUAGGGGGCAAGCGUUAUCCGGAUUUUCUGGGUGGAAAGGGAGCGUAGACGGCGGUGCAAGCCAGAUGUGAAAGCCUGGGGCUCAACCGCGGGACUGCAUUUGGAACUGGGCUGCUAGAGUGUCGGAGAGGCAGGCGGAAUUCCUAGUGUAGCGGUGAAAGGCGUAGAUAUUAGGAGGAACACCAGUGGCGAAGGCGGCCUGCUGGACGAUGACUGACGUUGAGGCUCGAAAGCGUGGGGAGCAAACAGGAUUAGAUACCCUGGUAGUC